UACGUAGAGAGCAAGCGUUGUUCGGAUUCAUUGGGCGUAAAGGGUGCGUAGGUGGCGAGGCAAGUCAGAUGUGAAAUCCCGGGGCUCAACCCCGGAACUGCAUUUGAAACUGCCUUGCUCGAGUACUGGAGAGGAGACUGGAAUUUACGGUGUAGCAGUGAAAUGCGUAGAUAUCGUAAGGAAGACCAGUGGCGAAGGCGAGUCUCUGGACAGUUACUGACACUGAGGCACGAAGGCCAGGGGAGCAAACGGG
rnacentral:rRNA from 1 species